rnacentral:snoRNA from 1 species
CUGAUACGUGGACUUAAUGUUCCUGGUUCGCCAGUGAGCUGAAAGUCCAUAGCGACCCGGGAGCUGCCUAUUAUGCAGUAUAGUCCUAGUCGCAGUAUCAGAGAGCAACUCUGCUCCCUACCUCGUAGGUGAGUGGAGGAAAGGCAUAUUCCAUGACCUUUCUGUAGUCCAUUGGGCUGGGACCAGGAAGAAAAACCAUGCUUGUUACACGA